rfam:Aedes aegypti strain Liverpool supercont1.724 genomic scaffold, whole genome shotgun sequence.
CAAUCGGCCCUUUUUAGGGCCAACAAAUGUGUACCAAAAAGUUAAUU